rnacentral:tRNA from 1 species
GCGGAUGUGGCGGAACUGGUAUACGCGCAGGUCUCAGAAGCCUGUGCCAGCAAUGGCUUGAGGGUUCGAGUCCCUCCAUCCGCA